UGGGGAAUUUUGGACAAUGGGCGCAAGCCUGAUCCAGCAAUGCCGCGUGCAGGAUGAAGGCCUUCGGGUUGUAAACUGCUUUUGUACGGAACGAAACGGCGAGCUCUAAUACAGUUUGCUAAUGACGGUACCGUAAGAAUAAGCACCGGCUAACUACGUGCCAGCAGCCGCGGUAAUACGUAGGGUACAAGCGUUAAUCGGAAUUACUGGGCGUAAAGCGUGCGCAGGCGGUUAUGUAAGACAGAUGUGAAAUCCCCGGGCUUAACCUGGGAACUGCAUUUGUGACUGCAUAGCUAGAGUACGGUAGAGGGGGAUGGAAUUCCGCGUGUAGCAGUGAAAUGCGUAGAUAUGCGGAGGAACACCGAUGGCGAAGGCAAUCCCCUGGACCUGUACUGACGCUCAUGCACGAAAGCGUGGGGAGCAAACA
rnacentral:rRNA from 1 species